GACGAACGCUGGCGGCGUGCUUAACACAUGCAAGUCGAACGGUGAAGCCCCAGCUUGCUGGAGUGGAUCAGUGGCGAACGGGUGAGUAACACGUGAGCAACCUGCCCCUGACUCUGGAAUAAGCGCUGGAAACGGCGUCUAAUACUGGAUACGAGAAGUGUCCGCAUGGGCACUUUCUGGAAAGUUUUUCGGUUGGGGAUGGGCUCGCGGCCUAUCAGGUUGUUGGUUAGGUAAUGGCUCACCAAGGCGACGAAGGGUAGCCGGCCUGAGAGGGCGGCCGGCCAACCACGGAGUGAGACACGGCCCGGCCUCCUACGGGAGGGAGCAGGGGGGAAUAUUGAAUAGUGGGCGAAAGCCUGAUGCAGCGACGCCGCGUGAGGGAUGGAGGCCUUCGGGUUGUAAACCUAUUUCAGCAGGGAGAAGCGAAAGUGACGGUACCUGCAGAAGAAGCACCGGCUAACUACGUG
rnacentral:rRNA from 1 species